rnacentral:rRNA from 1 species
UAACUGAAGAGUUUGAUCAUGGCUCAGAUUGAACGCUGGCGGCAGGCUUAACACAUGCAAGUCGAGCGGGGGAAGGUAGCUUGCUACCGGACCUAGCGGCGGACGGGUGAGUAAUGCUUAGGAAUCUGCCUAUUAGUGGGGGACAACAUCUCGAAAGGGAUGCUAAUACCGCAUACGUCCUACGGGAGAAAGCAGGGGAUCUUCGGACCUUGCGCUAA